AUGACGCUGGCGGCAGGCUUACCACAUGCAAGUCGAGCGGUAGCACGGGGGAGCUUGCUCCCUGGGUGACGAGCGGCGGACGGGUGAGUAAUGUCUGGGAAACUGCCUGAUGGAGGGGGAUAACUACUGGAAACGGUAGCUAAUACCGCAUAACGUCGCAAGACCAAAGAGGGGGACCUUCGGGCCUCUUGCCAUCAGAUGUGCCCAGAUGGGAUUAGCUAGUAGGUGGGGUAAUGGCUCACCUAGGCGACGAUCCCUAGCUGGUCUGAAAGGAUGACCAGCCACACUGGAACUGAGACACGGUCCAAACUCCUACGGGAGGCAGCAGUGGGGAAUAUUGCACAAUGGGCGCAAGCCUGAUGCAGCCAUGCCGCGUGUGUGAAGAAGGCCUUCGGGUUGUAAAGCACUUUCAGCGAGGAGGAAGGUGGUGAACUUAAUACGUUCAUCAGUUGACGUUACUCGAGAAGAAGCACCGGCUAACUCCGUGCCAGCAGCCGCGGUAAUACGGGAGGGGUGCAACCGUUAAUCCGAAUUACUGGACGUAAAGGCCCCGCGGCGGGUUGUAACCCCAAUAUGAAUCCCCGGCCUAGCUGGGGAC
rnacentral:rRNA from 1 species